CAAAAGCCUUUGUACUCCUAAGUCGUUUUAGAUGAUAGGAAUUUCAAAUCAAUGAUCGGAACCAUUAAAAUUGAUUUAGAGUAUUUAUAACGUUUAUAAACUAAAUUUCAUAAAUUUUAAAAUUUAUUCUCAAAUUCAUUGAAGAGUAAAAAAAAUAAACAAUCAGAAACAAAUAAUCUUGCAAAAAUAAAUAUCAGAGUUUUUCAAUUAAUAAUCGGAGUUAUCAAGCUAUUUGAAUUGUUCCACAUCAUUAAAUAAGCAAACGGCUCAUAUAGAUCGUAAAAAAAAUUAUCGAUUUUGUGAUCUUUUGAUCACUAUGUAAAUAAUAAUUUUUAAAAUUCAUAAAAUUUCAGUUCCAGACACUUUCUACCGUUUGGUUCGGGGUUAAGGAAAAACUAGUUACUCCAGGAAUAGGGUUAAGUUCAGGGUUAAUGUGGAAUUAAAGUAUUUUUGUGUUUGGUUGAGAAUUGAAGUUAGUCAAGAAUUAAAGAAAAUAGUGUUUAGUUGGAGUAGGUGGGAUAAGAAGGAUAGUGGGUAAAAUAGGGUAUGUUUGUUUCAACGUAAGUAGACUUGAGGUGAAAGUGGACUUUGGGUUGAAGUAGAGUUGGGGUGAAAAUUAGUUUACUUCUGCUGUUUGUUUCUAACUAUGGAAGUGCAGUUCUGUUGUUUGUUUGGUAGGAAGUAGAUGACGUAAAAAGUAUAGCUCUUCACCCCCUUGUAUACUUACCUCCAAAGUAAUAUUAUUGUCUAUUUUGUAACUUAUAGUGAAUAAUAAAUUAUAAUAAAUAAAAAUUAAUAUAAUUAUAUAUGUAUAUAAUUAUAUAUAUGUAUAAUUAUAAAAUAAAAUUUUAAAAAAUUAGAUUAUUUGUUUGCAUAUAAAUUAUAAUAAUGCAACAAAUAAAAUUCUAAAGUUAAAAAAUUAUUAACAUUUAACAAAUUCAUUUUUCAUCAUUUUCUAAAUAUAUAUAUUAAACAAAAAAUAUAUUAAAACUUACCUAACCAAAUUUGAUCAUAUUUUAGACAUAUAAUCAAAAUAAAAAAUUUAAUUACUUCUACAAUUGAAUAUAUUUGGAUAAAAGGGUAGAGAAGAGGUAACCCUAAUACAUUAAUCCCACUCUUGCCUUUUUUCACUUCACCGAAAUUGACUUCGCCCCGUGGGAGGGCGAAGUCAAUUUCAUUAUUUUGGAUGAACUGGACUUUCGGGCGUAAUAAAAUUACGGUGAACCAAACAACGGAAGUGGGCAGUUUUCAUCGAAAAUUACUUCCUCCUUCCCACUUCCACCCCACUUUCGUGCAAACAAACAGGCCCAUCGUGUUUUGUUUGGUUGGAGUAGUG
rnacentral:lncRNA from 1 species